GAUGAACGCUGGCGGCGUGCCUAAUACAUGCAAGUCGAGCGAAGCGGGGACGGGUGAGUAACAUGUGGAUAACCUCCUAUAAGACGGGGAUAACUUCGGGAAAACGGUGCUAAACCGGCUACUGAUAGCUGGAUCCGGGUUGCAUUAGCUAGUUGGUAAGGUAACGGCUUACCAAGGCAACGAGGCAUAGCCGACCUGAGAGGGUGAUCGGCCACACUGGAACUGAGACACGGUCCAGACUCCUACGGGAGGCAGCAGUAGGGAAUCUUCCGCAAUGGGCGAAAGCCUGACGGAGCAAUGCCGCGUGUGUGAAGAAGGUCUUCGGAUCGUAAAACUCUGUUAUUAGGGAAGCGGUACCUAAUCAGAAAGCCACGGCUAACUACGUGCCAGCAGCCGCGGUAAUUC
rnacentral:rRNA from 1 species